rnacentral:rRNA from 1 species
UAGGGAAUCUUCCGCAAUGGACGCAAGUCUGACGGAGCAACGCCGCGUGAGUGAAGAAGGAUUUCGGUUCGUAAAACUCUGUUGUUAGAGAAGAACAGCGCAUAGAGUAACUGUUAUGCGUGUGACGGUAUCUAACCAGAAAGCCACGGCUAACUACGUGCCAGCAGCCGCGGUAAUACGUAGGUGGCAAGCGUUGUCCGGAUUUAUUGGGCGUAAAGCGAGCGCAGGCGGUCAAUUAAGUCUGAUGUGAAAGCCCCCGGCUCAACCGGGGAGGGUCAUUGGAGACUGGUUGACUUGAGUGCAGAAGAGGAGAGUGGAAUUCCAUGUGUAGCGGUGAAAUGCGUAGAUAUAUGGAGGAACACCAGUGGCGAAGGCGACUCUCUGGUCUGUAACUGACGCUGAGGUUCGAAAGCGUGGGUAGCAAACAGG